CUAGUAGUAGUUGCAGGUCAUUGCUUCCUCAAAUGGUACCACUAAGCCGGUCGUGGUCCGGAAAGUGGUGGGCUCGGUUUAACUUGGCUUGAUCACCAAGGCCGGGUGUCACACGUGGAUGUGACAGCCCCCGGCGAGUCCGAUAGAGGACCGGGGCACGGCGAUUCCGAUUGAGGACCGUGACUGGGCGAUUCCCGAGCGCCUACGCCUGUGUGGUGUAAUAGUGAAGGGAUUGCCGGUGUCCCUUAUGUGGAGGAAGAAUGAUUCUGUUGGGCCCUAGGAGUACAUGUAUAUGGUUUAUUGAAAUGACACUCAUAAAGAGUGUUUUGAUUUAAUAUGGUUUAAAGCUUUAUUGCUUAAAUCGGUAUUGCUUUAUGAUCUUGAAUACUGAUUGUUGAACUACCCAUCUUGCUUGUGUUUCGGGUUGGGUUUAGAAUGACGGGUAGUUAUAUAUGCUAGAUAGGGAACCCUGGCUCACUGAGUGAAACUAGUUCACUCACUCCUCACAUCCUUUUUUUGCAGGUGACCAGUAGCACUCGCGGAACUGUAGGAGCUGGUGUAGAUUGGACAUCUUUUGCUAAAGACUCGUUUUCAAGAUAUAUGAAUGUAUGUUUUACUUUCGACUGCGUCCAUGGACCAUAUGUAUAAUAUUUUGGGCUCGUGAACUUCAUGUUUUAUAUAUAUGGAAUAAAGUAUGUUUAAUAUUCGUGACGUGUUGAAUCUGAUAUUAGGUUAGUCCAACCUAACACAACUCUAUGACUCGGUACGGGUUGCAAAGCCUCAGGCCGAAGAUUAGAGGAAACGAGUUUUGAAUGGAUAUUCUGGGUUACAGAAUUAUGUUUUGUGACUUGGAAAGUCUAUUCUAAACCCGUUGUGACACUUCCGGACUUAGCAGAGGAAGGUCGUUCGGGCAUGUUCUUGUUUGAUUGUUGCCCGACUGACUGACCGAUGUCUUAAAUGGUUCGGGGGUGUUACAGAGUGGGUUAUGAAGGAGGCGAUCAAAUGGAAGAGUUGUUGGUUUGCCAAAGAAAUGCUGGUGUGGCGUUGAAACUCAUGCAAAGAUGUCAAAUUCAGUGAACAAUCCAUAUUGGCGUUACUAUCGAUGUGACUAUGCUGAAGCAAAUAAGUUGGAGAAUUAUACCAUUCUUUCAAGUGGGUUGAUGAAGGGUUGCUACAUAAGAUAGAGACAUUACAGAGAAAAUUAGGAAGAGUUGAAGGAAUGGUCACAUAGAUUCUGGAAGAAUGUGAACAUUGUGAGAAGAAGGCGUCUUUGUUGUUGUAUUCCUCUUUGUUGUUGCAUUCCUCUGUGUUGUGGUAAGAAGGCGUUUUUGUUGUUGCAUUCCUCUGUGUUGUCGGGUAUAAAGUAAGCUAAUCGGGUUGUAAUUGAUGGUUUAAUGAGUUAUUUUGGUUUAAUCAAACAUGUGAUUGGUUAUGAGAUGAUUAGGUUUAUUUUUAAUACAGUACACCAAGAGUAAACCGGCUUCGAGUGUAAUAAGGUUUCGAACUUUUAUUUUCGGGUGGAAGUAGGUUUCAAACUUUAUAUUUAGGUGGAACAAGGUUUACUUGGGGGGGAUAUAGGAUGAUGACCAAAGUAUAUGUUGAUACGGUGUUAUACAAUAGUUUUGAGGGGAAAUAGAUCGUCACCCCCUUCUAUUUUGAUUUUUUGAGUUGCUAGUGUAGGAUUCUGGUAAGAAUUGGCUUCAUAGUUCAUGUUGAUGUUGUUUCUGUUAUUGUCAAGUUGUCAAUAAACCUUCCUAUGGAUUCCUAGUGAUGAAGUUUCUCUCACUAACUGUGUCAAGAGCCAUCUGGUAGAGACAGGCGAUGUGUAUGAUGAUGGUAUUUAGCAGUUGUACCGCGUUGAAUCUAUGGUGCGGACAGUCUCCCUGAUAUUACUUGAAUCUGAUUCAAUAGCUUCCGAAAGAUGUUGUAGGCUCCUGAUUGAAUGUAAUAGUUUUGUUCCUCAAGUUUUCAUAUUGCACAUCAUCAAAAAAAUUACAUAGGAAGGCAUUUUUUAUGUCAGUUCAGGGUGUAAGAGAUCAUGGUGGUAGCUGCUUAAGCCAAUAUGAAUCAUCUCUAGUAAGUGAGUACUUGAAGUGCUUGUAGAGAAGGUAUUUCUCAAGGACUCCUUUAGCUUUAAUAGUAGAUAUUAGAUCCUCAAUCCGCUCUAGAUAUUCCAUCAGAUGCUCAUUUGAGUGCCCAUGAUAAGGUGUAUGUCCCACAAAUGUAAAAUAUGCAUGCUUCAGCUGGAAAUCGUGCCUCUGAAAGGUAGGAGGACAAAUAGCAGAUCUGUAUGCACCGUAUUGAUCUGGACAACUGUAAUCAUCCAACGUUCUGGGUCGAGCGGCCUGGGUAUUCUCAUCAGCAACAACAUGAGCAUUGGCUGCGGCAUUCUAAGCAUUACCAGCGUCUAGAACAAUUGCCUUGAUCAGAGAUUAUAGCCCCCUGAUCAUCACGUCUUUGACCUGCUGCAUUAUGUAGAUGACCUUGGGUGAUGGACGUCUCCAUUCUCAUCUCGCAUCAUUUCAAGAGUCGCGGCUAUGUUGCUUUCUUGCGGGUUGCUGUAGAUCAAUGUUCACUCAACAAUGGUGUCGAUCGACGACGGAGAUGUGUAAAUAGAUGCUGCUCGCUUUUCCUUGUGAAUUGAACGUUCAAGUUGCGUAGGAUCCGAGUGUUUCAAAAGAGUAGCUUCCUUGUUGCUUCUGGUAUUGCUGGGUAAGUAACUUAAACAAAAAUAUAAAAACCUUUACGAAACCUAUCAAUCAAGUCUAUUGGCGAAUCCAAUGCUCCCCGGCAACGGCACAAAUUUGAUAUCACUCAAAUUACCCUUUGAGCAAUUUUCUCUCUCAAAUAAGAGAUUGAUUGCAGUACUUAGGGAUCGAAUCCACAUCGAGCUUGGACACAAGAAAAAACUAUAGGAAUCAAGAUUAAGCUAGGCAAGUAAUUAUUAAAGCAGAAAAUAGCAGUAAACAUGUAGAUUAUCGGUUGUAAGAUAUAUGGGAUGAAAGCUAGAUUUAGGGAUUCAGGCAAUCAAAACUAUUAGUUAUAGAUGUUAAGGGUGUGUGAUGUACGGUCAUAGAACUUGAAUGCAAAAGUAAGAUAUCCAGAUUUCGCUGAGAGUAUAAUCAGAUGCUUAAUCCUAUAUUCCCGCUCUCGUGUGUGCAUAAGAAACGAGUGUCUAUCGAUACUACAAACUGUCGAGCGAUACUACAGAGGAUCGAUCAAUACCUCUUUAAACAAACAUUAACGAUAUGAUCGAUAUGUUCACUAGAUUAGUUAAACCAGCUCUCGCAUCCGCCAAACAACCUAGCCCAGCAGAAUUAUUAACAUGUAAAAAAUUCACUUCCGUGGUUGUCUAUUUUCCUAAGUUCAUGAUUCUAGUUAUCUAAUAUAGAAUGCAAGCAGUUAGAUCAAUUAUGUGAAGGAUCCUAUUAAAUCACCCUAGCAUUUCUAUGUGUCGAUAAUCCAUCAGAACCCUAAUUAAACUCUAAAUCUAAUAGGAUGAUUACUCAGACAUAAUUAAGCAAAACAUAAAAAAUGACUGAAUAAACUGCAUAAAUAGAUAGAGUAAGAAAUAAUGGAAUUCCAAUACAAAUCUCUGAAAGAGUUUUUGAUCUUCUCUCCAAAAAUUUCUAAAAUACUAAAAAAAACUAUGUUAAUAUUCAAAGAUGUGCAAGGUGGUGUUUUGCCUAAACAAUGACACAAA